rnacentral:rRNA from 1 species
UACGUAGGGGGCAAGCGUUGUCCGGAAUUAUUGGGCGUAAAGAGCGCGUAGGCGGUCCGAUAAGUCGGCUGUGAAAGUCAAGGGCUCAACCCUUGAAAGCCGGCCGAUACUGUCGGACUAGAGUCCGGAAGAGGCGAGUGGAAUUCCCGGUGUAGCGGUGAAAUGCGCAGAUAUCAGGAGGAACACCGAUUGCGAAGGCAGCUCGCUGGGACGUUACUGACGCUGAGACGCGAAAGCGUGGGGAGCAAACAGG